GAUGAACGCUGGCGGCGUGCUUAACACAUGCAAGUCGAACGAUGAAGCCCAGCUUGUUGGGUGGUUUCGUGGCGAACGGGUGAGUAACACGUGAGUAACCUGCCCUUGACUCUGGGAUAAGCCUGGGCAACUGGGUCUAAUACUGGAUAUGACUUCUCAUCGCCUGGAGGGGGGUGGAAAGAUUUAUUGGUCUUGGAUGGACUCGCGGCCUAUCAGCUUGUUGGUGAGGUAAUGGCUCACCAAGGCGACGACGGGUAGCCGGCCUGAGAGGGUGACCGGCCACAAUAGGACUGAGACACGGCCCAGACGCCAACGGGAGGCAGCAGUGGGGAGUAUUGCACAAUGGGCGCAAGCCUGAUGCAGCGACGCCGCGUGUGUGAUGACGGCCUUCGGGUUGUAAACCUCUUUCAGUAGGGAAGAAGCGGGAGUGACGGUACCUGCAGAAGAAGCGCCGGCUAACUACGUG
rnacentral:rRNA from 1 species